CCUACGGGAGGCAGCAGUGGGGAAUAUUGGACAAUGGGCGCAAGCCUGACCCAGCAACGCCGCGUGAGUGAAGAAGGCUUUCGGGUUGUAAAGUUCUAUUCUCAGGGACGAAGCAAGUGACGGUACCUGAGUAAUAAGCCACGGCUAACUACGUGCCAGCAGCCGCGGUAAUACGUAGGUGGCAAGCGUUAUCCGGAUUUACUGGGUGUAAAGGGCGUGUAGGCGGGGCUGCAAGUCAGAUGUGAAAACCACGGGCUCAACCUGUGGGCUGCUUUUGAAACUGUAGGGCUGGAGUACGGGAGAGGUAGAUGGAAUUCCUAGUGUAGCGGUGAAAUGCGUAGAUAUUAGGAGGAACACCAGUGGCGAAGGCGGUCUGCUGGACAGCAACUGACGCUGAGGCGCGAAAGCGUGGGGAGCAAACAGGAUUAGAUACCCUAGUAGUC
rnacentral:rRNA from 1 species